ACGCUGGCGGCGCGCCUAACACAUGCAAGUCGAACGGCACCCAUCUUCGGAUGGAAGCGAGUGGCGAACAGCUGAGUAACACGUGGAGAACCUGCCCCCUCCCCCGGGAUAGCCGCCCGAAAGGACGGGUAAUACCGGAUACCCCGGGGUGCCGCAUGGCACCCCGGCUAAAGCCCCGACGGGAGGGGAUGGCUCCGCGGCCCAUCAGGUAGACGGCGGGGUGACGGCCCACCGUGCCGACAACGGGUAGCCGGGUUGAGAGACCGACCGGCCAGAUUGGGACUGAGACACGGCCCAGACUCCUACGGGAGGCAGCAGUGGGGAAUCUUGCGCAAUGGGGGGAACCCUGACGCAGCGACGCCGCGUGCGGGACGGAGGCCUUCGGGUCGUAACCGCUUUCAGCAGGGAAGAGUCAAGACUGUACCUGCAGAAGAAGCCCCGGCUAACUACGUGCCAGCAGCCGCGGUAAUACGUAGGGGGCGAGCGUUAUCCGGAUUCAUUGGGCGUAAAGCGCGCGUAGGCGGCCCGGCAGGCCGGGGGUCGAAGCGGGGGGCUCAACCCCCCGAAGCCCCCGGAACCUCCGCGGCUUGGGUCCGGUAGGGGAGGGUGGAACACCCGGUGUAGCGGUGGAAUGCGCAGAUAUCGGGUGGAACACCGGUGGCGAAGGCGGCCCUCUGGGCCGAGACCGACGCUGAGGCGCGAAAGCUGGGGGAGCGAACAGGAUUAGAUACCCUGGUAGUCCCAGCCGUAAACGAUGGACGCUAGGUGUGGGGGGACGAUCCCCCCGUGCGCAGCCAACGCAUUAAGCGUCC
rnacentral:rRNA from 1 species